UGAGUUUUCUUUGUCUUGGCUUGGACGUG
rnacentral:piRNA from 1 species